rnacentral:rRNA from 1 species
AACGAACGCUGGCGGCAGGCCUAACACAUGCAAGUCGAACGCCGUAGCAAUACGGAGUGGCAGACGGGUGAGUAACGCGUGGGAACAUACCCUCCGGUUCGGAAUAACUCAGGGAAGCUUGAGCUAAUACUGGAUACGUCCAAGGUUUUAAUCGGCCUUGGAGAAAGAUUUAUCGCCGGAGGAUUGGCCCGNGUCUGAUUAGCUUGUUGGUGAGGUAAUGGCUCACCAAGGCGACGAUCAGUAGCUGGUCUGAGAGGAUGAUCAGCCACAUUGGGACUGAGACACGGCCCAAACUCCUACGGGAGGCAGCAGGUGGGGAAUAUUGGACAAUGGGCGCAAGCCUGAUCCAGCCAUGCCGCGUGAGUGA